UCAGCGCUCGGCAACCAUAGGCACCCAACAACGGGCUGCAGCCAUCAGUAACAAUGGCAGCUCCAACGCCCAGAGAACUCACGGAGCAGACACACAUCAGCAGAUGAAGACGCGGAGGCCUGAGCGCUGGGGGUCGCCCGGGGCUGCACAGCGGGUCAGAGGCCAACCCUGGGCGGAGCCAGGCCACACCCUCCCUCAAGGAUUCACAGUCUCCCCAAAGUAACCGCAACGAGGGACCCUCCCAUCACCAAACUUCCUUUCAGUCACUUCCGCUUGUACUAAUUCUGGCCCAACCGUUCAUUAUAUUUUUACAAUUCUUA
rnacentral:lncRNA from 1 species